UAGAGUUUGAUCCUGGCUCAGGACGAACGCUGGCGGCGUGCUUAACACAUGCAAGUCGAACGGAAAGGCCCUUGCUUGCAGGGGUACUCGAGUGGCGAACGGGUGAGUAACACGUGGGUGAUCUGCCUUGUACUUCGGGAUAAGCCUGGGAAACUGGGUCUAAUACCGGAUAGGACCAUGCUUUAGUGUGUGUGGUGGAAAGUUUUUUCGGUACAAGAUGAGCCCGCGGCCUAUCAGCUUGUUGGUGGGGUAAUGGCCUACCAAGGCGACGACGGGUAGCCGGCCUGAGAGGGUGUACGGCCACAUUGGGACUGAGACACGGCCCAGACUCCUACGGGAGGCAGCAGUGGGGAAUAUUGCACAAUGGGCGCAAGCCUGAUGCAGCGACGCCGCGUGAGGGAUGACGGCCUUCGGGUUGUAAACCUCUUUCGCUAGGGAAGAAGCCACUUGUGGUGACGGUACCUGGAUAAGAAGCACCGGCUAACUACGUGCCAGCAGCCGCGGUAAU
rnacentral:rRNA from 1 species